rnacentral:rRNA from 1 species
AGCUCCAAUAGCGUAUACUAAAGUUGUUGCAGUUAAAAAGCUCGUAGUUGGAUUUCUGUGCACCGGUUGUUGGUCUGUCUCAAUGAGGCGGUACCUUCACCGUUGUACAUCCUGUUGGCAGACACGUGCUGGCAUUCAUUUGUCGGUGCGGGGAGACCACUCGUUUACUUUGAGAAAAUUAAAGUGUUCAAAGCAGGCAAUCGCUUGAAUACAUUAGCAUGGAAUAAUAGUAUAGGACUUUGAUCUU